UGCGGUUAAAAAGCUCGUAGUUGGAUUUCUGUCUAGGGUGGCCGGUACCCACUGUGUGGUGUAUCUGGUUCAGUCUGGGCAUCCUCCUGGGGAUCGUUCCUGUGCUUGAUUGCAUGGGGCGGAAUUCAAGACUUUUACUUUGAGGAAAUUAGAGUGUUCACGGCAAGCUUUCGCUUUGAAUACAUUAGCAUGGAAUAAUGAUAUAGGGCAUAAGUUCUAUUUUGUUGGUUUCUAGAACAUAUGCAAUGAUUAAUAGGGAUAAUUGGGGGCACUCGUAUUAACGCGUCAGAGGUGGAAUUCUUAGAUUGCGUUACGACGAACUACUGCGAAAGCAUUUGCCAAGGAUGUUUUCAUUGAUCAAGAACGUAAGUAUGGGGAUCGAAGACGAUUAGAUACCGUCGUAGUCUAUACCAUAAACUAUGCCAACUAGAGAUUGGAGGUCGUUUUUUUAUGACUCCUUCAGC
rnacentral:rRNA from 1 species